UACGGAGGGUGCAAGCGUUAUCCGGAUUCACUGGGUUUAAAGGGAGCGCAGGCGGACUUGUAAGUCAGUGGUGAAAUACCUGAGCUUAACUCGGGAACUGCCAUUUGAUACUAUAGGUCUUGAAUGUUGUUGAGGUUUGCGGAAUGGGUCAUGUAGCGGUGAAAAUGCAUAGAUAUGACCCCGGGAAACACCCUAUUGCGAA
rnacentral:rRNA from 1 species